ACCCAACUGACAAGUCCCAAAUAGGACGAAAUGAGCAUCCUGGAA
rnacentral:hammerhead_ribozyme from 1 species